GGUGGAGCGAGAUCUGAGCAGGGGAGGGCGUGCGCUUCGGGUGUGGAGGGAGGGGUAGUUGGGGCCGCACGGGGUAGAGGCCGCCGCCGUUGGGGCCGUGCGGGGUCAGGGCCGCUGGGCGUUGGGGCCGCGCGAGGUAGGGCCGCUGGGCGUUGGGGCCGCCCGGGGUAGGGGCCGCGCGGCGUAGGGGCCGCUGAGGAUCGGGGUUGCGCGGGAUAGGGGCCGCUGGGGGUCGGGGCCGCACGGGGUAGGGGUCGUUGGGGGACAGGGCCGCGGAGGCUAGGGGUGGGAGGUAGCAGCGCGGAGACUAGGCCGCUCUGAUCGUGACGGGAGCUGAGGCGCUGUGUAGAGGCGAGAGUAGAGUAGAAGCCAGUCACGUCGCCCAGAGGGAGGAAGAUAGCAAGGAGGGUCGGGGGUGCAGAGAAGCUCCACGAGGAGAGCGACGGAGCUUGAACUGGAAGGGCGAGGAGGUGGGGACGUGACGGCGAGGGAGGACGACACGAGUGGGUGUUCGAGCCAGGGAGCUGUCUUUAACGACCUAGCCUAGCCACGACGAAGAGUCCGCUCCAGUAACACGACGUGUACGCGACCGUUUGUUGUGGCAGAGACCAAAACAAAGGGUUAUGAGCCAUUCUCUCCUUUAAGAAGUCAUGAUCAAGUUACUUUCUUUGUCGUCGUCAAGUAAUUAGAUUUUUUUAGUGUAUAAACCUCCGUGCGGUAACACAAACGAUGUUACAGAGUCAUGUGACCUGAUGAUCGAAACGAGACAAGUAGCAAAUAAACAUCGAUGGAACACGAACUUUUAACGAUCUCUGCAGGACGAGGGGAACCGAAGGUGACACGGCGACCGAACGAGGUGAGCAGAAGGUGUCGCGGCGACCGCGGGCCGUCGGUGGGAGGAGGUUGGUGGUAGGUAGUCCCGUGCUGCGAGGUUCGUGCAGGAGGCCUACGGGGGAGGAGAACGGAUGAGGGACACUUCGCGGGCUGGCAGAGGGAGGACGGGGUAGGCAGGUCCCCUAGAACCCUUCGUGGACUUGUUAGCCGAGUAGACGAACGGUGGCAGUACCUGUGGCGGCACCGCGACGGGUAACGAGAGCCACCAGCAAGAAGGAGGACACAACGGAAGAAGGAGACCGGUGACGACCGAGCAGCAGGCAGGAAGAAGAGGUAGAUGACUUUAAGUCGGAAAAAUUAACCGUUGCACACAUGUCGUCGCUGCCGCCUACUAGAUAGAGGGUACGGAGGCAGGAGUUAGAGUGACGGUCCCCAUAUGUGCCGACAACCCUCGGCAGGUUCAGCUCGAGACUGGCGUCAGGUUCACCCUGACGCUGGUGGUAGAUUACAUUCGAUAAGUCAUACAGAUUAAGGGUUAGCAUUCAUGCUAAGGGAAAUACAAAAGGUAAAAGAAGGAUAUUGUGUUUUGUACGUGACAUCCUACUUUUACUCUUCUAUAUGAUUUUCUUUUACACACCACCGCGACAGGCACAAAAGUUAAAUUUGGUGAGCGAAAAAAUAUGUGUUUUUUUAGACGUUCAUAGAAACGAUGACACACAAAGAUUAACUUGGUACGUUUAAAGUAAAGUACCGUAAGCCGUUUUAACGAUGACACACAAAGAUUAACUUGGCGGCGGGGCUCUUAGGGGCGACUCGAGCAGGCAUCGGGGCCGGGAGAAGCCCCGGUGGGUCCAGGUGUAGCGCCCCGGCGGCACAAGAGAAACGGCGGUAGGUCCAGGCUGCUCGGCGGCGUGCGUCCUAGGGUACGCACGAUCGGAGCCACGACCGGGACGCGCUACCGUGCCGUAGUAAGUGACGGCGGUGGUACCCAACAAGUUACUGUGUCGUAGCUCAGCAAGCUGUGGCGUCGAGUCUUCAAACGGAGGAAAGGGUUGGAGGUGAUACGACCCCACGACCGUCGGCAGGUUCACCUCGCAACUGUGAUCAUGUUCAUCUUAGCACCCAACGCCUGUUGUAGAAGUGGUUCGUGACGUGUAGGUAGGUUCAGCUCGUGUGUGUGUCCCUCUUGUGUGGUCGGGGAAACGAAACGUGUAACGAACGAAUACGUACUGACGACUACCUACGUCGUUCGCAAAUAUAAUCAAACUAGAACACGUUCUGAGUUAAAACAGAGCCAAAAGUACCUACGAUCGACCGUUAUGCAGGUUGUAAGAACCCCGCUAUCGCCGGUGGUGAUUCCCGUAAACGCAGGUCGUGAGCUCGAUGUACGAGCUGCCAACGUGUGACGGCGGUACCCGUACGUGUUUCUAUAAUUCAUGAGGGAGGCAUUUGAUUAUAUUCUCGUAAAUCUAGUGAUAAAAUCAAUAGAUUUGCGAGAAUAUAAUCAAAUGUCUCCCUCAUCUACAAACAAUCAAGUCAAAAAACAACUAAAUGGAACAAAUUCAUCAUCACGUCGUUAUUUUCCACAUCAACAUGACUUCAAAAUCAACGAUAUACUCCUUGCGUCUCCGGUAAAUAAAACCAAAAGUCAAGUCGAACAGACAACAAAAGCC
rnacentral:rRNA from 1 species